UGUGUGUUAGUGGAAGCGUCUGGAAAGGCGCGCGAUACAGGGUGACAGCCCCGUACACAAAAAUGCACAUGCUGUGAGCUCGAUGAGUAGGGCGGGACACGUGGUAUCCUGUCUGAAUAUGGGGGGACCAUCCUCCAAGGCUAAAUACUCCUGACUGACCGAUAGUGAACCAGUACCGUGAGGGAAAGGCGAAAAGAACCCCGGCGAGGGGAGUGAAAAAGAACCUGAAACCGUGUACGUACAAGCAGUGGGAGCACGCUUAGGCGUGUGACUGCGUACCUUUUGUAUAAUGGGUCAGCGACUUAUAUUCUGUAGCAAGGUUAACCGAAUAGGGGAGCCGAAGGGAAACCGAGUCUUAACUGGGCGUUAAGUUGCAGGGUAUAGAC
rnacentral:rRNA from 1 species